UACAGAGGUGGCAAGCGUUGUUCGGAAUUACUGGGCGUAAAGGGCGCGUAGGCGGCCUUCUAAGUCAGACGUGAAAUCCCCCGGCUUAACCUGGGAACUGCGUCUGAUACUGGAGGGCUUGAGUAUGGGAGAGGGAUGUAGAAUUCCAGGUGUAGCGGUGAAAUGCGUAGAGAUGUGGAGGAACACCGAUGGCGAAGGCAGCCUCCUGGGCCAGCACUGACGCUCAUGCACAAAAGCGUGGGGAGCAAACAGG
rnacentral:rRNA from 1 species